GAUGAACGCUGGCGGCGUGCCUAAUACAUGCAAGUCGAGCGAACGGACGAGAAGCUUGCUUCUCUGAUGUUAGCGGCGGACGGGUGAGUAACACGUGGAUAACCUACCUAUAAGACUGGGAUAACUUCGGGAAACCGGAGCUAAUACCGGAUAAUAUUUUGAACCGCAUGGUUCAAAAGUGAAAGACGGUCUUGCUGUCACUUAUAGAUGGAUCCGCGCUGCAUUAGCUAGUUGGUAAGGUAACGGCUUACCAAGGCAACGAUGCAUAGCCGACCUGAGAGGGUGAUCGGCCACACUAGAACUGAGACACGGUCCAGACUCCUACGGGAGGCAGCAGUAGGGAAUCUUCCGCAAUGGGCGAAAGCCUGACGGAGCAACGCCGCGUGAGUGAUGGAGGUCUUCGGAUCGUAAAACUCUGUUAUUAGGGAAGAACAUAUGUGUAAGUAACUGUGCACAUCUUGACGGUACCUAAUCAGAACGCCACGGCUAACUACGUG
rnacentral:rRNA from 1 species